GUAACGCCUCAAAUUUUAUUGAUUUAAACUUGAGGUGUUACCGAUAUCAUUUCAUAAACAUAUAUCAAGUGGAAAUAUAAAUUGGAACUUUAAAACUCCUAAUUUAUAUAAUACUUAAAGGCUAAAUCAAAUAAAUGUAUCGUCAGGUAAUAUGAAACGUUAAAUGGAAAUCAAUGGAAACACAAAAUGUCCUAGAAGAAUUAUUUUUAAAUCUUUUCUUGAAAAUUUCUUUACUUGGCAACCCACGCACCGCUCAGCCACCAUCCACGUCGACCGAUCUAACCUGAAAUAUUAAAUUUGAAGGAAUGAAUAAUUUAUACUCAGUAGGAUAUAUGCGUCCAAACAAUAUAAUAACUUUUAAAACAUGAAUUUACAACAUUCCAUACCAUCAUUUCAUCAAGAGCAAUCGAUGAUCAAUCGAAUACUCUAACAUAUUUGAGAAGACCCGAAGGAGAUCUCACAUUUCAUUUCAUAGCGACCCGUAGGUCAAUUAACAUUUCAUGAAAUAAAUCACGUCAAAAAUUAUAAUAUUGAAAAGACGGAACAAUUUGCACAUAGUAUCCUACCUCGUUAGAUCAACGAAUUUUUGAAAGAAUAAUCCAACAGAAUAUUUCAAUUUCUAGACUUCUCGGCUUCCUUGAACGUAAUUAAAGAUGGAGAAUGGUUUUCUGCUUUUAAAAUAUGUGUCAACAAUUUGACUUUUGCAGAAUAUUUAUAGUUAAAAAAAAAAAGGAGUCUUGAUGCCUUUGAAAUUGAGAAACCGUGUAUGUGCGUGGAAUAGAUGGACAUUAAAAAGCAAGGAAGCUACUGAAUUUAAAGAACAGAACCAAA
rnacentral:lncRNA from 1 species